CCUACGGGUGGCAGCAGUGGGGGAUAUUGCACAAUGGGGGAAACCCUGAUGCAGCGACGCCGCGUGUGGGAAGACGGUCCUCUGGAUUGUAAACCACUGUCCCCAGGGACGAAGAUGACGGUACCUGGGGAGGAAGCGCCGGCUAACUACGUGCCAGCAGCCGCGGUAAGAGGGAGGGUGCGAGCGUAGCCCGGAAUUACUGGGUGGAAAGGGAGCGGAGGAGGGACUGCAAGUUGGGUGUCAAAUCUACCGGCUCAACCGGUAGCCGCACUCCAAACUGCGGUUCUUGAGUGAAGUAGAGGCAGGCGGAAUUCCUAGUGUAGCGGUGAAAUGCGUAGAUAUUAGGAGGAACACCAGUGGCGAAGGCGGCCUGCUGGGCUUUUACUGACGCUGAGGCUCGAAAGUGUGGGGAGCAAACAGGAUUAGAUACCCCGGUAGUC
rnacentral:rRNA from 1 species